GACGAACGCUGGCGGCGUGCUUAACACAUGCAAGUCGAACGGUGAAGGGACCGGUUUUUGCUGGUUCUGGAUGAGUGGCGAACGGGUGAGUAACACGUGAGUAACCUGCCCCCUGCUUCUGGAUAACCGCAUGAAAGUGUGGCUAAUACGGGAUAUUCUGCGCCUGCUGCAUGGUGGGUGUGUGAAAGAUAUUGUUUCGGUUGGGGAGGGGCUCGCGGCCUAUCAGCUUGUUGGUGGGGUGAUGGCCUACCAAGGCGGUGACGGGUAGCCGGCCUGAGAGGGUGGACGGUCACACUGGGACGGAGACACGGCCCAGACUCCUACGGGAGGCAGCAGUGGGGAAUAUUGCACAAUGGGAGCAAGCCUGAUGCCGCGACGCCGCGUGAGGGAUGGAGGCCUUCGGGUUGUAAACCUCUUUCGCCAGUGAAGCAGGCCUGCCUCUUUUGUGGGUGGGUUGACGGUAGCUGGAUAAGAAGCGCCGGCUAACUACGUG
rnacentral:rRNA from 1 species